rnacentral:rRNA from 1 species
UACGUAGGGGCAAGCGUUGUCCGGAUUCAUUGGGCGUAAAGAGCGUGUAGGCGGCCAGGUAAGUCGAUGCGAAAACCAGGAGGCUCAACCUCUGGCCUGACAUCGAUACUGCCCGACUAGAGGUAGGUAGGGGAGAUCGGAAUUCUGGUGUAGCGGUGAAAUGCGCAGAUAUCAGGAGGAACACCGGUGGCGAAGGCGGGUCUCUGGGCCGAUACUGACGCUGAGGAGCGAAAGCGUGGGGAGCGAACAGG